CUUCCAUAUAAUUUGGAACAUUGUCGCCAAGAAUCACGUCAUGGAUGGGCACGCAAUUGAUAGACAUGCAAAUAUAAAUAGCCCAGGUCCCUAAAGUAGGGUGGUUUUAGCAACAUCCCUGAUGUUUCUAACGAAAUAUCCCGACUCCUUCACAUGGACUUCACAUAUUUGAAGGUAUAUCUUUGCUCCCAAAUUAUUUGACCUCUCCCUUCUCUCAAGAGAUAUGCACUUAUAUUUUGACGCCUCUCUCUCUCUCUCUCUCUCUCUCUCUCUCUCACACA